AGCCUCUCCUUCAAUUCCAUCGAAGAAACAUGCUCGACAUUCCACUUCCACCACCGUCGUCUCCAUGCCUCCAAGCCCUAGUCUGCAAUGCUUCAAAAAUAACAAAUGCAAGGCCUCGUUCAGCAAAGAUUUCAACCUAAGAAAGGUACUAUCUGGCCGAACUAUUGAUGUUAAUUUCUUCAAAGGACAAAGCCUUCCUAUUAAACAAUGUUUUGAUAACAAAAAAUAGUCCUCUCUGUUAAAACUUGACUGUGAUGGUCAUCCUACUCUCAUUAAGAAAUUCUUUGCAAAUCUAUCCUAUAAUGAGGAAUCUUCUCCUAGCACCUUGGAGUGCUUUGUAAGGGGUGAUUCCUUCACUCUUAAACCCUCCAUUAUUAACUCCAUUUUGAGAACUUCUAAUGAUGGUCAUCGUGUGUCUAUCCCUAGGCAGAAAUCCUCCUAACUACACUCAUCAUAUAGGUCUUCAAUUUCUGACCAAUAACCCAGCCUUAGAUAAACACAUUACCAUUUCUGGCAAUGACCUAACUCUUGAGUUGAGACUGUUGUAUCACAUCAUAAACCACAACAUCCUUCCCCGAUGAGGUCGAUUUGAUACAGUCACCUAUGGCCACACUUAUCUUCUUUGGGCCCCUUUCCACUGGAUACCUUACAGAUUUUGGGAAUUUGGUUUGUCAAGUCAUGAUUGAUGCUCACAAAAGAGACAACCAAGCCCUACCCUAUGGAAUAAUCUUCACCAAGAUCUUUAAACAUUUCAAAAUUAACCUCAAAGGUGAAGACAAUAUCCCUAGAGACUCUGCUGUUUAUGGCUCAGAAACUCUUAGGCACAUAGGUUAUUCUUUGAUUGACAAUGUUUGGACCAAAGCUAAAAAACCUGUCACUGCUCCACCUACUCUUGUUCCAUCUUUCUCCGCUGAUCCUAACCUUCCAAGUUCUUCAUCUAUGCCUCUCUCCACCCCUGGUCCUUUCUCUUCUGUUGCACCUCAUGAUCUUUCCUCUCUUUCUAUAAAAAUUGAUCAUCUAGUCUCCUUGGUUCAAGGACCACUUAUGGUAGGGAUUGCUGAACUGAACUCCAAGCUUAAUAACCUUAAUCUUAAUGCCCAAUCUACAACAGUGUCGGUUAUGCCAUCAUCUUCUCAGUCUACCUAUAUUCCACCUUAAUCUGAUCUGGCACAAAAGAUUGAUCAAUUGGCUUCUAUGGUUCAACAAAUUCUCUCUCGCCAAGUGGACAUGCAACAAGAAAUUGAUAAUAUGAGGGUACAACAAUCUCAGGCAAUUGAAGCUGCCAAGGCAAGUGUUGAGAACAUGGUGAUAGUUGUUUUUGGCCUCAAGCAUUCCAACGAAGAAUUUUGUCAAAUUUUUCAACAGCGAUGGGAUGACGAUCUUGGCGAACAAAUUCAUAAAUUCGUGCUUUGGUUCGCGCAAGGUUGGCUUGAAGCAGCUCCGCAUUGGCCCCAUGAGCCUCCUCCGUUUCGCUAGUCUUUUUUUUUUCUCUUUACCCCUCUUUUUGUUGAUGACAAAGGGGGAGAAGAAUUAUAGUUUUAGCUUUAAUGUGUAUGAACUUGGAUGUUGGAUAGAUAGUUUCUUUUUAUCUUUUUGCACAUGUAUACGAACUUAUAUCCUUUUGCACAUGGUAGAACAAACAAUUUGUGGUACAAUUUUUGGUUUGUUUUGAUAUAGUCAUGAAUGGAUAUGAAAGAUGUGUUAUAGAUUCAUUUUACACUACCAGCAACACACACAGUGAUUGAAAGUGCACACACAUUGAUUGAUAUACUUUAUUUGUGCUUGAGUGAGGCUAUUGUUUUGAUGGAAAAAUAGCUUGUCAUUUCAUUCAAUGGAAUUGAGUCGAGAUUAGCUCUUAUUUGCAAAAGAUCUAGUGCAUAUUGACAGGGGGAGCUUGUCAUAUAUUGUAAUUAGCAAGUUGUUCCAUUUGUGCAAAAAUCUUCUUGGCUUAUAUUGGGAGAUUUCUCAUUGAGUUUUAAAAUAAAAUUGAUUUGGCCUUGAAGCCCUUUUCAUCGGGGAAGUUUUUCGAUCUUGUUUUUUAAUCCAUUAUUUACAAAACUCCUUGAAAAAUAUUUCUUAAACCUUUGUCUUAAAACUCAUGAUUUGAAAACUUCGCACAUAUUUGUCAUCAUAAAAAAGGGGGAGAUUGUUAGCCCCAAGGUUAUUCACAUUUCAAUUUUAUUGAUUUUGAUUAUUGACAAAUGUCUUGAGCUUAUUUAAUUAUUCAAAGUUUUCAAAGUAUACCCAUGUCUUUGCACUUCAAUGAUUCUAAAGAAUGUAUGCUUCUAAAUUAUUAUAUUCUCAUAAAUAAUGGCACCUCAAAUUAAUAGAAUUAGUCCAAGUUUGCACAAUGUUAUUCUUGCUUAAAACAAGUCAAAGGGUUGACACCAAGAUAUGACACGGUCGACAUCAAAAGACAGUGAAGAAAGCUUAGGUUGUUCAGCAGCAAAGGGUCGACACCAAAACAUGACAAGGUGGACACAAUAAUAAAAAAUAAUAAUAAUCUUGGUUAGUCAAUAAGUAAUUUAAUUUAAUUUUCAGAAUAUGUUAUUCUUAACAAACUAAAAUUCCAUGGCUUACCAUACUCCAGGAGAUAUCUACCUAAUCCAAACAAGUCUUAAUGCCUUGUGUUUUUGAACAAUUAAAAUGAAUUUUCUCGCCCAAAACAUAUCCCCACACAAAGAAAACCUUUCUUACCUGAACAAAAAGAAGUCAAAUCCAGCAGGAAACGCAGAAGACAAAACAUGAUCACCACACAACCCUUCAAAAAAAAAUUAAUAAAAAAGUAAAUUAAAAAAGAAAAGAAGGAAAAUCGUUAACAAAUAUAAAUUAAAAAUAAAUAAAAAACGAAAACAAAACGUUUGUUAAUAACAAAAACAAACAAACAAACAAAUUUGUGUACAGUACAUAAAAAAUAGAAGAAAAAGAAUCCUAAUUUUGUUGGACGGGCCUCAUAGAACUUCCAUACAUGAUUAAUUUUGUCGAUUCGAUUUUGAAGAUGAGAUGAAGUUGUAAGCGAAAACCCCUUUUUUACGCAACAAAAUAUAAAUAAAAUAAAUAAAUUAUGUACUGUACCCGAAGAGAAGAAGAAACCCUAAUUUUGUUGGGCGGAUUCGCAUAGAAAUUCCAAAUUGUAAUCCAAAAUGGAAAUCAAGUUGAACAAAUCUUUGGUAGUAUUUCGGGAUCAUUAACUCAUCACCAUCAAGAUCUCAAACCAUAGUCCAGAUCUUGGACAUCUCUCUGGACGAGGAGAGACUGAGAGAUACACAGACUCAGAGAUGGAGAAUUUGCAGUAGGGAGAGAAUGAGAUACACAUGCAUAGACUGAAGUGAAGUGAAGACAAAUUUUAUGGUGUAAAAGGAUGGUGAUUACAAAUGAUUCUUGUGAAUUGGAUUGUUGGUUAAGGAGCUAGGGUUAUUGAUCUGAUUUGUUUGGGAAGAGGCUGCAUCUGGUGGAAGCUGAGAAAGGAGGAAUGCUUGACUUAUGUGGGAUGUUAAUUGCAAGGGAUGUGGGUUGGUAUUUUGCUAGCGGCCAUGUGGAUUAGUUGGGGCUUUUUUGGCUGUUAUCCUGGUUGAUUGUUAGUUUAUCCUUUGUUUCAUUUUUGGCUUUUUUUUGUUUUGCGUAUUGUACUUGUCUUGUUGGUUGGUGACACCAAUUUUGGGUCAUGCUAGCAAAUGAUUGGGCAAGCUAUUUCGGUGUCAACCUAGUUGGGAUUGUUUAGUUUUGUUGUGAUGCUCUUUUGCACUUACCCUCCCUUUAUUGAUGAUAAUUAUUUGUAUUGUUCCUUGAUUAUUAUUAUUAAAGUUUAUUUUUGCUGAUAAAAAAAAAAAAUGUAUAUUGCAUUUAUGAUGUUUUUAAUUUUAGUAGUUUCAUAGUCCGAGAGUUUUUAUCGACGGAUAUUACAGGAUUGAAGUCGGAAAUGAGGAUGAGAUGUAAAGAAUUCUCCAGUAUCACCCGAUCACUGUUUAUAUAGCCUGCCAUGAGUCUUUCAAUUGUUGUAAAGGGGUAUAAACUACUAAGUACGAAAAUGUUUUAUUGGAAUAAUUUUGAAAUGAUUUGUAAUUAAAUGUUAUUGUAAUUUAUUUUUAUAUGUAGGAUGUGUACAAGUCACCCCGUUUUUUACACGGACUUGAUAUGAUGAAACUAAGUGAUGAAUUAGAUCUUGUCAGCCAUACACUGGUGGAAUGUCAUGUGAUUUGUUUUGUAGGCAAGGGGACUUACAAUGGAGAACCCGCCUAGUGAUAAAAAAUUCUUGGGGGAAGAAGUGGGGCAUAGGGGGCUCUGUAUACAUGCCACGCAACGGAAGCGACGCCGGAGUCUUAGGGAUAAAUUGCUUUCCAUCUUUUCCAGUUAUCGGUGAUCACAAAAGAUAUGAGAAGCCUCGCCUCUAUAAGUAUCAAAGGGCUACAUACAAUGAUGGGAUUAAUGGUUAUAUAGUCCGUUGUGCUGUAGAUCGUUGCCCCCCCAAUUUUCCGAUCACUAGUUUUUGGAAUGGAAGAUAUUAUGGACAAUCAAGUCAUACUUCCAGAUGCUCACAAACAUAUCACUCGACCACCUGCUGGGGUUAUAUUCCCGAAGAAGUUUUUAUCUUGUCAUGUUCUCUGCUUGUCAUUAACGUUCCUCUUGUUAGUAGUUUAUUUAUUAUUUUUAUUUCUGCAUUCUAUUUCAUUAUAUAAGGCAUCUACUUGUACAGAUGUGCAUCUUUGCUUUUGUGAUAGACCCUUGUGCGUGUCUGCUUAUUUCAUGGUCAAGCAAGGUAAUGGAAAUCAAAAGGAUAAUAACAAAUAAUAAAGGAGAUGCAUUCAACCAAGGUUUAGAGGGAGCACAAAGACUCACAAUGUUUCAAUAUUAGAGCCCAUAUGAGAACGGUUUUUUGCAUGUUUUUUCAAUUUGUUUGAUGUGAAUAGAGUUCUCUGGCUUUAGAUUAAUUAGAUAUGGUUCAUUAUGUUAUUAUUAAAAUCUUGGUUUGGUUGAGGUUCUUUAAAGCAAUUCCUUGCGUUAAGUCAAUAAAUCUUGGUUACUUGAUCAAGCAUGGCAGAGCACUGUAGUUGGACAUAUUUUAUUUCAAAAAUGUUUAAGAGCUGUAAUCUAGGAGCUCAAAGGGAGCUCUAACUAGUGGGUCCCACCUGAUGUGAUGUUUUGGCCUUCCCCCCCCCCCUCUCUUUCACUGCCUGCUCAUUGGAGCUGGCUUUAGAGCUGCUGAUUUAGAGCUCUGAAUCAUAACUGAUUUUAUUUACACAUGCUGGAGACUUAGAUAGUAAUUAGCUUUCCAUGUAUUUUACAUCAUGGUGUUGUGUGUUGAUGGAUUUGAAAUAAAGGGAUUUGGGUUUCAUUUCAUACUUAAAAUAGUCGAGAGAAUUGGUAUUGAAGUGCGCUUCCAUUUGAAGCGUUAAGGUAAAGGUAUGAGAUUCAUCCUACUAGAAUAGUUGUGCCACUAGAAUUUCGGAGGUUUAGGUCAAAAUUCAUGUUUUUUUUUUUUCUUCUUCAAAAUCAUUCAUAAAGUUCUUAUAAAUCCAUUCGUGGAAAAUUUAAUCCGUGCUAUAUUGCUUGAAGUUCUUUUUGUUGGAAAGUGGAAAAAUAAGAGGAAUGGAAGAAGGUAGGAGCAGAAGGAUAUCAAAGUUCACCUUUUUUCUUCCAAAAUUACUGAGAUAAGGUUCUCA